UUAGAGUGAGGUCGAGCACAUAACAGUGC
rnacentral:sRNA from 1 species